rnacentral:rRNA from 1 species
GACGAACGCUGGCGGCGUGCUUAACACAUGCAAGUCGAACGCCGUAGCAAUACGGAGUGGCAGACGGGUGAGUAACACGUGGGAACAUGCCCUUUGGUUCGGAAUAACUCAGGGAAACUUGAGCUAAUACCGGAUAAGCCCGAGAGGGGAAAGAUUUAUCGCCGAAGGAUUGGCCCGCGUCCGAUUAGCUAGUUGGUGAGGUAAUGGCUCACCAAGGCGACGAUCGGUAGCUAGUCUGAGAGGAUGAUCAGCCACACUGGGACUGAGACACGGCCCAGACUCCUACGGGAGGCAGCAGUGGGGAAUAUUGGACAAUGGGCGCAAGCCUGAUCCAGCCAUGCCGCGUGAGUGAUGAAGGCCCUAGGGUUGUAAAGAUCUUUCAGCUGGGAAGAUAAUGACUGUACCAGCAGAAGAAGCCCCGGCUAACUCCGUGCCAGCCGCCGCUGUAAAAC